rnacentral:rRNA from 1 species
CUUCGUGCCAGCAGCCGCGGUAAUACGAGGGGUGCAAGCGUUAUUCGGAAUAACUGGGCGUAAAGAGCGCGUAGGCGGCUUGUUAAGUCUGUUGUUAAAUUGCCCGGCUUAACCGGGAAUCGGCAAUAGAAACUGGCGAGCUAGAGGACAAGAGAGAGAAGUGGAAUUCUCGGAGUAGCGGUAAAAUGCGUAGAUCUCGAGAGGAACACCGAUGGCGAAGGCAGCUUCUUGGCUUGUAUCUGACGCUCAAGUGCGAAAGCGUGGGGAGCAAACAGGAUUAGAUACCCUGGUAGUCCACGCCCUAAACUAUGUCAACUAGUUGUCGGGCCUUAUUAGGUUUGGUAACGUAGCUAACGCGUGAAGUUGACCGCCUGGGGAGUACGGUCGCAAGAUUAAAACUCAAAGGAAUUGACGGGGACCCGCACAAGCGGUGGAUUAUGUGGAUUAAUUCGAUG